UGAAAUAGUAUUUGGGAAGUUGUGUGUAGACGUUGUAUGGGUGAACCUGCUCUAUUUUUACGCUGGAAAGUUUGUUUGGGGGUGCAUUACAAAGUUGACUUCUUGCUUCCCUCGGUUGGAACGUCCACGCAUGAUCGAUCAAGAAUAUCCCGUUGCUAUCGGAAACCUCGAGUCCAUCCUCGUUAAUAAGGACGGCUUUCAACUUUGAAUUGCCGUCACUUUCGUCGUCGGUUGUUAACGAGAAAUAUUCUCCAGCGUCAAAUAUCUGAAAAUAUUGGAAGAUUGUAAAAUCCACCUGUUAUGUUAUGGAGCAUCACCACCAAGGAGCACGAAAUAAGUGAGGAGUGACGCCGUUACUUGCAAGAACUUCUUUGUAGAUGUCACAGAAUUGCUCAAACG